AUUGAACGCUAGCGGGAUGCCUUACACAUGCAAGUCGACCCGAGUGGCGAACGGGUGAGUAAUGUAUCGGAACGUGCCCAGUAGCGGGGGAUAACUACGCGAAAGCGUAACUAAUACCGCAUACUAUUGGAGCGGCCGAUGUCGGAUUAGCUAGUUGGUGGGGUAACGGCUCCCCAGGGCGACGCUCCGUAGCUGGUUUGAGAGGACGACCAGCCACACGAGGACCGAGACACGGCCCAGACUCCUACGGGAGGCAGCAGUGGGGAAUUUUGUACAAUGGGGGAAACCCUGAUCCAGCCAUCCCGCGUGUGCGAUGAAGGCCUUCGGGUUGUAAAGCACUUUUGGCAGGAAAGCGGUACCUGCAGAAUAAGCACCGGCUAACUACGUGCCAGCAGCCGCGGUAAUAC
rnacentral:rRNA from 1 species